AUUGAACGCUGGCGACAGGCCUAACACAUGCAAGUCGAGCGGAGCGGCGGACGGGCGAGCAAUGCCUAGGAAUCUGCCCGGUAGUCGCGUAUAACGUCCGGAACCGGGCGCUAAUACCGCUUACUAUCAGAUGAGCCUAGGUCGGAGUAGCUAGGUGUUGGGGUAAGGGCCUACCAAGGCGACGAUCCGUAACUGGUCUGAGAGGAGGAUCAGUCACACGAGAACUGAGACACGGUCCAGACUCCUACGGUAGGCAGCAGUGGGGAAUAUUGGACAAUGGGCUAAAGCCUUAUCCAGCCAUGCCGAGUGUGUGAAGAAGGUCUUCGGAUUGUAAAGCACUGUAAGUUGGGAGGCGGUACCCGCAGAAGAAGCACCGGCUAACUCCGUGCCAGCAGCCGCGGUAAUAC
rnacentral:rRNA from 1 species